UAAUACGUAGGGAGCAAGCGUUGUCCGGAAUCAUUGGGCGUAAAGAGCGCGUAGGCGGCCCGGUAAGUCCGUUCUGAAAGUCGGAGGCUCAACCUCCGAAAGCGGAUGGAUACUGCCGGGCUAGAGUCCGGAAGAGGCGAGUGGAAUUCCUGGUGUAGCGGUGGAAUGCGCAGAUAUCAGGAGGAACACCAACGGCGAAGGCAGCUCGCUGGGACGGUACUGACGCUGAGGCGCGAAAGCGUGGGGAGCGAACAGGAUUAGAUACCCUGGUAGUCCACGCCGUAAACGAUGGGCAUUAGGUGUGGGAGGUGUCGACUCCUCCCGUGCCGGCGCUAACGCAUUAAAUGCCCCGCCUGGGGAGUACGGCCGCAAGGCUA
rnacentral:rRNA from 1 species